CAUGCAAGUCGAGGGGUAGAACACUUCGGUGUUUGAGACCGGCGCACGGGUGCGUAACGCGUAUGCAAUCUACCUUUUACAGAGGGAUAGCCCAGAGAAAUUUGGAUUAAUACCUCAUAGUAUCUUCGAUCCGCAUGGAUUGAUUAUUAAAGUCACAACGGUAAAAGAUGAGCAUGCGUCCCAUUAGCUAGAUGGUAAGGUAACGGCUUACCAUGGCAACGAUGGGUAGGGGCCCUGAGAGGGAGAUCCCCCACACUGGUACUGAGACACGGACCAGACUCCUACGGGAGGCAGCAGUGAGGAAUAUUGGUCAAUGGGCGCAAGCCUGAACCAGCCAUGCCGCGUGCAGGAUGACGGUCCUAUGGAUUGUAAACUGCUUUUGCACAGGAAGAAACACUGAUUCGUGAAUCAGCUUGACGGUACUGUGAGAAUAAGGAUCGGCUAACUCCGUGCCAGCAGCCGCGGUAAUACGGAGGAUCCAAGCGUUAUCCGGAAUCAUUGGGUUUAAAGGGUCCGUAGGCGGUCUGGUAAGUCAGUGGUGAAAGCCCAUCGCUCAACGGUGGAACGGCCAUUGAUACUGCUGGACUUGAAUUAUUAGGAAGUAACUAGAAUAUGUAGUGUAGCGGUGAAAUGCUUAGAGAUUACAUGGAAUACCAAUUGCGAAGGCAGGUUACUACUAAUGGAUUGACGCUGAUGGACGAAAGCGUGGGUAGCGAACAGGAUUAGAUACCCUGGUAGUCCACGCCGUAAACGAUGGAUACUAGCUGUUGGAAGCAAUUUCAGUGGCUAAGCGAAAGUGAUAAGUAUCCCACC
rnacentral:rRNA from 1 species